UGGGGAAUAUUGCACAAUGGGGGAAACCCUGAUGCAGCGACGCCGCGUGAACGAAGAAGGUAUUCGUAUCGUAAAGUUCUGUCCUAUGGGAAGAUAAUGACAGUACCAUAGAAGAAAGCUCCGGCUAAAUACGUGCCAGCAGCCGCGGUAAUACGUAUGGAGCGAGCGUUGUCCGGAAUUAUUGGGCGUAAAGGGUACGCAGGCGGUUUAAUAAGUCGAAUGUUAAAGAUCGGGGCUCAACUCCGUAAAGCAUUGGAAACUGAUAAACUUGAGUAGUGGAGAGGAAAGUGGAAUUCCUAGUGUAGUGGUGAAAUACGUAGAUAUUAGGAGGAAUACCAGUAGCGAAGGCGACUUUCUGGACACAAACUGACGCUGAGGUACGAAAGCGUGGGGAGCAAACAGG
rnacentral:rRNA from 1 species